UACGAAGGUGGCGAGCGUUACUCGGAAUUACUAGGCGUAAAGCGCAGGUAGGUGGUUUGGUAAGUCUGUAAUGAAAGCUCCUGGCUUAACUGGGAGAGGUUUAUAGAUACUGCCAGGCUAGAGCAUGGAAGAGGUGACUGGAAUUCCCGGUGUAGCGGUGAAAUGCGUAGAGAUCGGGAGGAACACCGAUGGCGAAAGCAGGUCACUGGUCCAUUGCUGACACUGAGCUGCGAAAGCUAGGGGAGCAAACAGG
rnacentral:rRNA from 1 species